rnacentral:rRNA from 1 species
GCGUGGAGACAGGUGGUGCAUGGCUGUCGUCAGCUCGUGUCGUGAGAUGUUGGGUUAAGUCCCGCAACGAGCGCAACCCUCACCCCUUGUUACCAUCAGGUCAUGCUGGGCACUCUAGGGGAACUGCCCCGGUCAACGGGGAGGAAGGCGGGGAUGACGUCAAGUCAUCAUGCCCCUUACGUCCUGGGCUACACACGUGCUACAAUGGCCGGUACAAAGGGAUGCAACGCCGCGAGGCAGAGCCAAACCCAAAAAGCCGGUCUAAGUUCAGAUUGGAGUCUGCAACUCGACUCCAUGAAGGAGGAAUCGCUAGUAAUCGCGUAUCAGCACGACGCGGUGAAUACGUUCCCGGGCCUUGUACACACCGCCCGUCACACCACGAAAGCCAGCUGUACUCGAAGUCGCUGAG